rnacentral:rRNA from 1 species
UACGUAGGGACCGAGCGUUGUCCGGAUUCAUUGGGCGUAAAGAGCUCGUAGGCGGCUGUUCAAGUCGAACGUGAAAACUCGGAGCUCAACUCCGAGCCUGCGUUCGAUACUGGACGGCUAGAGUCUGGUAGGGGGAUCGUGGAAUUCCUGGUGUAGCGGUGGAAUGCGCAGAGUAUCAGGAGGAACACCGGUGGCGAAGGCGGGAUCCUGGGCCAGUACUGACGCUGAGGAGCGAAAGCGUGGGGAGCAAACAGG